ACCCCAUACUCCUUAUAGUAGGGAUACUAUAAGGGAAAGGAGUAAUCCGCUAUGGGAUCGGGCUAUAUCGUAUCAGCUAGUUGGUGAGGUAAAGGCUCACCAAGGCUAUGACGCGUAGCUGGUCUGAGAGGAUGAUCAGCCACACUGGAACUGAGACACGGUCCAGACUCCUACGGGAGGCAGCAGUGGGGAAUAUUGCACAAUGGGGGAAACCCUGAUGCAGCAACGCCGCGUGGAGGAUGACGCAUUUCGGUGUGUAAACUCCUUUUAUAUGGGAAGAUGAUGACGGUACCAUAUGAAUAAGCACCGGCUAACUCCGUGCCAGCAGCCGCGGUAAUACGGGGGGUGCAAGCGUUACUCGGAAUCACUGGGCGUAAAGCGCGCGCAGGCGGUUAGAAAAGUCAGAUGUGAAAGCCUGCGGCUUAACCGUAGAACUGCAUCUGAAACUCUCUAACUAGAGUGUGGGAGAGGUAAGUGGAAUUAGUGGUGUAGGGGUAAAAUCCGCA
rnacentral:rRNA from 1 species